rnacentral:rRNA from 1 species
CCUACGGGAGGCAGCAGUGAGGAAUAUUGGUCAAUGGGCGGAAGCCUGAACCAGCCAAGUAGCGUGCGGGAUGAAGGCCCUACGGGUCGUAAACCGCUUUUGCACGGGGAUAACACCCUCCACUUGUGGAGGUCUGCCGGUACCGUGCGAAUAAGGGCCGGCUAAUUCCGUGCCAGCAGCCGCGGUAAUACGGAGGGCUCGAGCGUUAUCCGGAUUCAUUGGGCUUAAAGGGAGCGUAGGCGGGCGUUCAAGUCAGCUGUAAAAUCGCGCGGCUCGACCGCGCCCCGCAGUUGAAACUGGACGCCUUGAGUUCACAACAGGCAGGCGGAAUUCGUGGUGUAGCGGUGAAAUGCAUAGAUAUCACGAGGAACCCCGAUUGCGAAGGCAGCCUGCCGGGGGGUGACUGACGCUGAGGCUCGAAGGUGCGGGUAGCAAACAGGAUUAGAUACCCGUGUAGUC